GUACAGGAAAGGACAGUUUGUGGCAGUUGGGGGAGCCCUGAGGUAACUGUGGGGAGGACAUGUUGUGCUGCUGAGAGACUGCUGGGAGAUCUCUGAGGGGAUGGAGAAAGAGCAUGGAGGUGUUGCGCUGAUGGGGACGCUCUACUCGGUGUAGUCAGCCUCAGACAGCAUCGGAACCGGGUUCAGGAUGGUACCUGCUUUAAUUGACGAGCUCCGGUGAUUGAGUGGAGCAGGUCCGGUCUUCCAGAGAACUCCCAUGUCAGUGAUGAGGGAGGUGGCCUAGGCAGUGGCGUAACUAGGGGGCCGCAGCCGCUGAUUGAGGCUGUUUUGGGAAGGAGGACACGGAGGGCACCACGCGCGCCUCUCCUGUGUGUCCCUCCUGGGUCUCCGGGGGCAGUGGCGUGUCUGUUAAAUGAAGUGCCCGUUCGUGAGAUCUGAUUGCCCCACCCCCCCCAGUGUAGCUGGCACUUGUGGGGGGGGGGGCAUAUGGGGCACUGGGGGCAUAUGUGGCACUGGGAGCACAGCCCUAGCAACAAGCAUUACCCCCUGGUUACAAGCAGAACACCCACCUCAUGAAAUUCCUUUCAACAAGCAUUACCCCCUAGCAAUGAGCAUGACACCCAGUGCAUGAAACCCCUGGCAACGAAUAUUACCCCCUGGCAACAAGCUUGAAACCCAGCACAUGAUACCUCUGGCAACAAGCAUAACACCUACCGCAUGAAACCCCUGGCAACGAGCAGGACACCCUGAGCAUGAAAGCUCCUGGCACCGUGCAUGGAACCAAGAGCAUGAAACCCCUGGCAACGAGCAGCGUCUGACGUCCAACCGUCUACGUCAGCAAGCCAUGUCCCACGCGUUUCAUCGUUAUGGACUUCGUCAGGAUGACCAGAGCCGGCGACAAGCUCCAUCAGGGGAAUUACUGCUGAGUGAGCACGCUGUCCUUGGGUGUUCCCUACUGUGGAGCCAGCUAAGUGUGCCAUUUUAAACUAACAUGUUACUUCCAGCUUAAACAGUCUGGUGUCACGAUCCGGGUAUCUGGACGCCAUUACUUACCCUUCAGAUGCCUCCUAAGGCGGGCUCAGCGUUCCAGGACCGGAUUCCGCUGUUCCUGAGUUUCCACAUGCAGAGUGGUCUUUUCAUCAGCCGCGGCCUCCGCUGUGCCCGCGUGGUUAAAUGUGCAUCUAUCAGCCUGGCGUCUCCUGUCUCCGGUGGCCGGCGCCGCCAUUACUGU